rnacentral:lncRNA from 1 species
GUCGUCUCUCCCUUUACUGCAUCAGAGUGCUGGGCAGCUCAGAUGACUACAGUGCAUUCUAAAUCUAGUGCUGAGUUUUUAAAACCCAGGUUAGGGAAUUGAAUGCUAAAAUAAAGAUGAUAUACUUUCAUCCAUCUCCUAGGGAAUGGGAUCACAAAACAGGUCAUGCUUCAGAAAAAAUUUAAGAACGAAUUAUCUAAUGAUUCAGGAAUCUUCCUUCAUUUUAAUGAAAUACAUAUUACAUUAAAAUCUCUUUAAAAAUCAAACUCUUAUCUAAAGUAUAUAAUGCCCUUUAUCUAUAUACAAUUUCCCCAAAUGGGACACUAGGUGCUAAGGAUAUGGAGGUAGAUAAGACAUUGCCUCUACUUUUACAGAGCUUAUAGUUAAAAGACAGAACAACAAAUCAAUAAAAGCAUAGUAAGUACUGUGUUCUUAUCCUAUUGCUUCUGUAACAAAUUACCAAAAUUGAGUGGCUUUAAGCAACAUAAAAGUAUCAUCUUACAAUUCUGGGUGGCAGAAGUCUGAAAUGGGUUUCACUGCACUGAAAUCAACUUGUCAGCCUGGCUGGGUUUCUUCUGGAGGCUCUAAGGAAGACCCCCUCUUUGACUUGGAAGGACUUCUGUGAUUACAUUGGGCCCACUGGAUAAUUCAGGAUAAUUUUCCCCAUUUCAAGAUCCUUAGCUUAAUCACAUUGGUGAAGUCCCCUUUGCAGUGUAAAGUAACAUAUUUAUAGGCUCUGGGGAUUAGGACCUGGAUUUUUUUUUUUUGUGUGGGUGGGUAGGGGUGUGUGGGGGCGUUAUUUUGCCUAAUAUAGAACACUAUCUAUCUGUAGGGUACAAGAACAUAAAACUAGCAUACUUAACGAUAGUUUGGGUAGUCUGCAAAGGCCUGUGAAAGGGAUACUUUAACUGAGACAAAGCAAGAGCAGAAGCUGGCCAGGACUAUAGGAUGGUAAUGAGGCUGAAAUUUUCCAGAUAGAAGGAACAGCAUGUGCAAAGGCCCUGAUGUGGGGGCAUCCUUGUCUACAGUGGGUCUAGAUUGACCAUUUGACAGAAUUGACCAGAUUCGAAAAGGGAUUUACUUAGAGUCAAGAAUAUAGUUUCAAAAUUAGAAGAAAAUUAAGUGCCUUAUUCCAUUUUAUUUGGGUUUUCAGUUUUUCCCAUUACAGCAAACAGAACAAGAUUUUGUCUUUUUUUUUUUUUUAGCUAGCUGAAUGUCUUUCAAUCCACUGAACAGUUCUCAUUUUUUAGAGCCUCUCUCAAAGCCAUCAUUACACACAGUUUUCAAAGGAUUGUUACCUAGAAGGGUGACAGACCAAGCUCAGAACACAAAGCCAAAGUCAAUGAUCUAAUCCUGUUUGGGAAAGGUCUGCUCCUUGCUGGGGUCAGCUGUUAUUCUGAUCUUGUUUUCAUGUUGGCAGUUUUCUUUUGCAGCUGCUCUCAUUGUGAGGAGUUAAGGGACAGCUUGUAGCAGACCAGGACUUUUAAAAAAAGAUUUUAAAAUGAAUAAUAGAGCUCUUUUCCUCUUAUGUCACUUAUUGAGCUUUGAAACUCAAGCCAGCUGAUUGGAGAUAAUCAUGGCCAGUGUUUGCAUGGUGCUUUGAUUUUUGAUAUUUUAAUAAGAUCUUAGAUGGCUUUCCAUAUAUUCUUUCUAGCUACCUUGUAUCACACAAGCACAACAAUGCCAGCUGCCAGGGAGACUCAUUAAAUUGACAUUUUAAAUAUUUCUGUAAAUUACUAGAACAUUUUAGCUUUAACUCCCGGAGGGUAAAAGGCUAGAAGAUUUUGUGCACAAGAGUAUCUGUCCUGUUCUCUAAAGAAAAUGGAACUCCAAACCCAUUCCUCUUAUUCUGUCUGCUCUCCUCGGUUAUAAAGCUGCAGGAAGAGCCAUCAUUUAAUCACUUUUUUUUUUCUGUAUGCUUAGGAUAAAGAGGCACAGUAGAAUUAUAGCUAAGAGCAAAGACUUUGAAUUCUGACAGGGCUGGCUUUGAAUUCCCAACUUCUCUAUUUCCUUUGCAUAUGAUCAUAAGCAAACUCUCCCACCUCUAUGAGUCUCUUUUUUUGUUGUUUUUGUUUGUUUGUUUUGAGAUAGGGUCUCACUCUGUUGCCCAGGCUGGAGUGCAGUGGCACAAUCUCGACUCAUUGCAACCUCUGCCUGCGGGUUCAAGCAAUUCUCCCACCUCAGCCUCUUGAGUAGCUGGGAUUACAGGCAUGUGCCACCAUACGCAGCUAAUUUUUUGUAUUUUUAGUAGAGACGGGGUUUUACCAUGUUGGCCAGGCUGGUCUCGAACUCCUGGACCAAAAAUGAUCCACCCACUUUGGCCUCCCACACUGCUGGGAUCACAGGCAUGAGCCACCACACCCAGCCUAUGAGCCUCUUCUUUAUCUGUCAACCUGGGUAAUAUCUGCCUCAAGACCGUUGUCAUAAGGAUUGAAGGAGAUAAUAGAAGUACAGUUGUUAGCACGGUGCCAGGAAUAGGUCAGUGUACAAAGAAUACAGUACGUCAUUAUGACUGAAUUAUUAAUUUGACAGCCACAAAACAAAUUCAUGUGACACAUUUACUUAUUUGACUGCUUCUGUGGUAUGUCUGAGGUGAGUAUAGGUGCGACAUUCCAGAGAAGGAGAGCUGGCGCAAGGACAGUGCUCCAGAAAAAACAGUAAUAGUUUCAACUGACCACAGGCUCAAUAUGGAACAACACUGGGAUGACAUUGUUAAUGUAAUUUAAGGCCACAUUAAUUGAGUGUCCAAAAUAAAGGAGGAAAUGGCCCCAUUGGGUGCUAUUCACACCUUAUUCAUGGUAUUGUUUCUUUUUCUGAACAUGUCUGGGUCUAAGUACUUUGAUAAUUGGAUUUUAUUGGGAGGAUGGUGAUCAGGACGGUGAAGGAUGCUGAGAUGCCCAUGAAGCAUAAUAGAAGGAACUGGAGAAAAAAUUAACCAGAACCAUGAUGGUGUCCUUCAAACAUUGUCCCAUGGAAGAAGGAGUUGAUAUCCAUAUAGCUCCCAACUGCAGAACUAGGCUCAAUGAAUGAAAGCGAUGAAGUGGUGAAUUUCAGGUCAAGAGGGAAGAAUUUUCAGAUAAUUUAGAGCUGCUCAAAUAUGAGUGGCUUCGUGACAUUUAGGUCCUUCUGCAUAUGCGUUGUAGAAAUGAGACAGGGAUGCUGAGAGAGGUUAUCUCUCUUGGGGGAGGGACAGACCACAUGGAUUGCACCAUCCUUUCCCAAUUGACCAUUUGGGUGUACACAUACAGCCUUCUCAUACAAAGUUACAACAUCGAAGGAGGCUGCCUACUUGGCCUCCUAUGAUGGUGAGCUCUGAGAACUGAAAUAAGAAACCUUAAAGCUAACUGCCUUACAGGCAGAAUAACCGGAUCAUAAUAGACUCAUUUCUAUAGUUGUGCUAUCUUGGGAAGUAUAACUUAUUCCAUAAUGAUGUGUUCAGUAAGUCCUUAAGUAACAAGCAUUGUUAAUCAUGUCUUUUUUUUUUUUUUUUUUUUUUUUUUUUGAGUCGGAGUCUCUUUCACCCAGGCCGGACUGCAGUGGCGCUAUCUCGGC